rnacentral:rRNA from 1 species
CUGUGACUCCUACGGGAGGCAGCAGUGGGGGAAUAUUGCACAAUGGGCGCAAGCCUGAUGCAGCCAUGCCGCGUGUAUGAAGAAGGCCUUCGGGUUGUAAAGUACUUUCAGCAGUGAGGAAGGCGGGUACGUUAAUAGCGUAUUCGUUUGACGUUAGCUGCAGAAGAAGCACCGGCUAACUCCGUGCCAGCAGCCGCGGUAAUACGGAGGGUGCGAGCGUUAAUCGGAAUUACUGGGCGUAAAGCGCAUGCAGGUGGUUUGUUAAGUCAGAUGUGAAAGCCCCGGGGCUCAAACCUCGGAAUUGCAUUUGAAACUGGCAGACUAGAGUACUGUAGAGGGGGUAGAAUUUCAGGUGUAGCGGUGAAAUGCGUAGAGAUCUGAAGGAAUACCGGUGGCGAAGGCGGCCCCCUGGACAGAUACUGACACUCAGAUGCGAAAGCGUGGGGAGCAAACAGGAUUAGAUACCCUGGUAG